ACUUGAAAUCGACCUCGGAUCAGGUAGGACUACCCGCUGAACUUAA
rnacentral:rRNA from 1 species